rnacentral:lncRNA from 1 species
GCCAAUGGGAGGGGCGGGGGCGGGCUCCGGGGAAGGAGGAGGACGAGGAGGAAGAUGGCGGCGCCUGGCCUCGCCUGAGGCCUGGUCUGUGUCUGUGAGGCGGGAAGGAAGAGGACGGAGAGGCCGAGAGAGAGAGAGAGAGAGAGAGAGACUGCGAUGGGGGGGGGGCUUCCUUCUCGGUGGUGGCCCCGUGGUUUUGGAAUGCCCUCCUGAAGGAGAUCAGGUUCCCCCUUCUCUUCAAGCUUUCUGGGCACAACUGAAAACACGGUUUUUUGAACAAGCCUUUGGACCAGGAUGAGCACCUUCCUCACUCAACCUGAGGCCUUAGCGAUGGAUUCUGUUAGUACUUUAUGGACUGAGACAGUUCACAGCCUGUUGUACCCACAGCUUUGCUGCAGUGUUGAAUUUUAAUCAGUUGGGUUGUAUGUUAUUCAAUGGAAUUAUUGUUUUGUGUAAUUAUUGUUAUUGCUUUAUUUGUUAUGUCUUUUGCUGCGUCUUGUGUGUUCUGCACAAUUGUGUGCUUUUGUGAGCCACUCCGAGUCCCUUCGGGGAGAUGGUGGUGUUAUGAAUAACUUCUCAAUAAUUUUAAAGCAUAGGUUCUUUUUAUUGCAAUUUCAGUGUGAGAGGUAUCAGAACGUUUACACAAACAACAAAGAGUGACAUUAGACAUACAGAUUUUAUGUAACCACAUUGGCUUGAUAAACAACCUACAACAGACAAAGCGGGGGGGGGGGGUUACAUUUUCACUCAGCAUUCACACACAUCUCCAUGUAUUCAUCCUCGUGCAUCCAUCCAGAUAUUACCAUAUCCUUUCUCCCUCCUUGGAGAAGCACCUGCUUAGGCCAGGCCCUGCUUCCUCUGCAGCAUAGUUCCAAAACGUCAAAAUGCAUCCUUUUUUCCUAAGAACAAUGCCAAGUAUCAGACACAACUGUCUCCCUGCAACCCGUAUCAUGACUCCGAAAUGCACUCCUUCCUCUUCCCUUGAGAAAAGGAGGCCCAGUGACAAGACCGCUUCCAUGCAAAUCUGCCACUUUCCCAUACACCCUCUCCACUGAGGAUGGCGGACGAACAGCAUCUCUGUCUGUCACAAUUUCUGGAUCAUUAUUAAUAAUAAUAAUAAUAAUAAUAAUAAUAAUAAUGUUAAUUUUAUUUCUAGACCGCCCUCUCUCCCCAGAGGGACUCAGGGGGGUUAACAUACAUAUAGAUGGCGAACAUUCAGUACCCCAACUACAUCACUAAUAUCAAAAGUAUAAAAUGACAAAACCAUAAAAUUUAAACAAGACACUUAGUAAAAACAUAGACACUUAUAUAACAAUAUUUUUCUGAUGUUGUCCCAAAGUUGUAAAUGAAUGAUAGACGUCUUCCAUCCCGGAACAUCCUGGCUCCAUCUCCGUUUCCUGGACCAGAUGUUGACUCUUCUUGAUUAGUGUUGGCCUUGUGUUGACUUCCUUCUCAACAGUUGUAAACAUUUCCUUAACUUCAAAAACCAUGGUCUCUGCCCCAAAAGUUCAUCAAAUCAGCAAAUAUUGACAGAUGUAAACAGAUGGAAGCAUUUCUCUUCUCACUGUCGCAGUUCUUAACCGAGUUUACCAGACAGGUCAACUAUUUCAGUUAUCAUUAGCUGGUUUUAAUUACUAUUCAGCAAGCAGGUAGUUAGUCAUUGUAGGCCUUAAUAUUUUAGAAUGGUGUCUCCAAAAUUAUUAGCUCUCAUUCAUUCAUCUCUUCCAUUGAUACCAUAUAUUCAUAUUUCAUUUUAUCUUAUUACAGUGGCGGGGUACAAAUAAAUAAUAAUAACAGUAGUAAAACUUUAUUUAUAUACCACCCUAUCUCCAACAAUGAAACCAGACAA